AGUACGAGAGAGCAUGUGAGGCUUUUGUGGAUGGCUUGAAGCUUGACCCUACAAAUGGUGAUCUCGCAAAUGCUUUGAGGGAAGCCCAGGAGGCAGCGAAGAAUGCUCGUUGCCCUGGAAAGUAACUGACGCGCCUGUCUUGCGUGCAGAAUCUGAGGCUUUGUUUCGUUGCUAGCACCUUUUGUUAGUCUGAAACUUCCAGCAAGAAUAUCCUGUGGUUUUUAUAAGACUUCCAUGGUACCCAUCGUUUGUAAACUGGAUGCAGUCGCUAACCGUAGUAUCUUGAUUCCAGUUCAAGUGUCGACAAACUUUAUCGUCACUGAACGUUAAGCUUGUUCUAUCUUUGGUUGUUGGAUCA